AGCCUAGUUAUAUAUAUAUAUAUAUAUAUAUAUAUAUGGACCUCAAAGGAUUGUUCAUGGUGUGUGACAUUAAAAAGGAAGCCCAAUCCUUAUUGGGCCCACCAAUACCUUUCUAGUUGACUUUAAGAAUAGAAUAAUGUUUAUGAAUCUUAGAAUCAUCCUAAUUGAUUAUAUUUAAAUUAAAGAUAAGUAAUGCUUUUAAAUUAGAAAUAAGUAUUGUUUUGUAUGCACUUUAAAGAUCUCUCGCAAAAUAUCACCCCUUCACCUACUUACCUUAAACAUGUGAAUGAACGGCAGCGGGCGAGUGUGUACAUCUAAUUCUUUAAUUAGAUAGAUGUACUUUAAAAGCUCACCAACCUGUAUGUAAUUCCUUUGAUUGUACAUCUAAUUCUGUAAUUAGAUAGAUGUACUUUAAAAGCUCACCAACCUUUAUGUAAUUCCUUUGAUUGGCACGUGGGCCGCACACUUCACGGUGUCCCUACGAUGUAUGUUUACACUCGUUGGGGUGUAAAAGAUAAAGGGUGCACUAUAAAGAUUAAAAUCCCUUCAAUUAUAAUUAUAGUAAAUAAUUAAAUAAAAUAAAAAAAGAAAAAGUUGGUUUUGGAGAUCAAGCGCAGACGAAGCCACCAUUGGACUCGUGCGAAGGAGGAGAUCCUGCGGCGAUUGAUUGCGUUGGUAAAUCUUCUUUCAUCCAUCGGAGUUUGCAUGCCAUGGGACAUGCCCCAAACCCCCAUACAAGCAAGAUAUUUCUAUCAUAGUAAGGACUCUUGCAAAGUUUGAUGCUGAUAACCUCAUUCCUUGUUUUGGAUCUGGAGAUCUUUAAUGUCAGCUUAUCUUACACAUUAGUCGGCAAGGCUAAUUGCGGUAUAGGUUAUGAAGUUCUCACCCUGGUAUAGGUUAUGAAGUUCUCACCCUAUACUGCAGCAUCCACCCAUGAUCAGGAGAUGUUUAGCUUUUAUCCAGACAAUCGACCAUGCAAUGGAUUUGAAGACCCACUACUACGAUAUAGAGAAAUAGUACCACAUCUUCCGCUCGCCGGACCAACUUGUUUUGCACCAAUUAUUGAGCUGGUCCAUCAGCAUUGUCGACAAUAGUGCUGGCCAAUACCGUGUUCUUCUUAUAAUAGCAGAUGGGCAGUCCUAGCGAAAAAUUUCUUACGUAGUACGCAGUGUUGACAUUGAUCGUGGCCAGAUAAGUUCACAAGAGCUUGGCGCUGUAAAUGCCAUCGUCAAGGCUAGGUAAACAAUAAUUGUUAGAACAAUGACUCAUGGAAAAGGCAUAUGUUUGCAUAUACCCUUCAAAAGUUGAACCGUCCUGCAAAGGGGAAGGUGAAGUUGGUCUUUGUUUGUGUAACUCUGUUGGGUUAUUAACUAACGUAAUAUCUCUACUUAUUUUAUGUUGCAGUGACUACCUGUUAUCAAUUGUGCCGGUUGGAGUUGGUGAUGGGCCAUGGGAGACAACGAUGAAGCAAUUUGACGGCAACAUCUACCGUGUCGUGCAUUGGAGAUCAUGUCGAGUUAAUCCCCGAGAGCAGAAAGGAUGCACAGUUUGCUCUCGCAGCGCUGAUGGAAAUCCCAUCGCAGUAUAAACCAGCAAUGGAUCUCCAACUUCUUGGGAAUGAAUUUUUAAACGAAGGGGAAUGCAAGAAAGGUUUAAUUUGUCUACCUCCACCAAUUAAGUGGCAGGGUUCUGGGUGUUUAAAUUCAAAAAAUUUACAUAUCCAAACAGCCAUGAACAAGGAGUUCAAAAAAAACAAAAAAAAAAAAGCCUCCGCCUGAGAGUUCACUAGUAGAUGUAGAUGAACGCAGGCACAUGCAAAACCACACUGAUCAUUCUAACCGACCGUUAGGUUAACCUACAUGCAUGCAAGCAUUGAAGUGAAAAAGAGACACCCCACAAUAAUAAACUUGAGAACAACUUUGUUCAAAAUUUUUCUCCUUCUCUAUGUUUCAUAAUCCAUGUAAUAUAUAAUUGGAUCCAAUGAGGUCCAAUAGUACUGCUUCCCCUUCCUCGUCUCCUCCCACGCCGCCGUCGUCUCUGCCCGUCAGCGUCGGUCCGGGCAACCGCAAGUACCCGUUCACGCCGUCCCCAUCGCCGUCGCCGCCUUUCUCGCCUCCUGAUUGGUUGUCGCCAGAGGCCUCGCUGCUCUUACGCGAUGAGCCCUCGGCUUUUUCACUGGACACACUUGUGCAGCAAUCUUUUCCACCAAGAAGAUGGUGGGGUUUCUGCAGACGUUUGGAAUGGCUGGUGCUGAGAUGUUGCUGUUGCUGCUGCUCUUUUCUACUGUGAACACCACUCAGCUGUGUUGUUAAUUAAUUACAUCAUUGUAAACCAAAUUCUACCAAAUUAAACAAGAGAUUACAAGUGCUUGGAUCA